AUGAAGAUUCUUCAUGUUGUCGUGUUUUGUUGCUUCUCAGUUGUGUGUGUGAAGACCUCGGCAGUGCUGGAGGUGAGCGGCCGUGUUGGAGGAGAGGUCUCCAUUCACUGCUCUGUUGGCUGGACCAAAGACAACGGCUCCGAACACAACAACAUGUACUUCUGUAGAGGAGUCUGCUCCAGAGAAAACAUUCUCGUUGAGACUGAGAGGAAGGGGUCGGCUGUCACCGGACAGGGCAGAUACAGCAUUGAGGUCAGCGGAGGAUAUGGAGUCUUCAACGUGACCAUAAAGAAGCUGCAGGCGGCGGACGCAGGCCGAUAUUGCUGUGGAGGGGAGAGAACCAUGAACGUGUUGUACCAGGAGGUCGAGCUCAUAGUCCUAGAUGCUCCCACUGUUCGUCCUGGAUCUCUGCCCCGUGGCAGCUUUCAAUCCACCACUGAAUCGUCACCCGCCGUGUUAACGCUGCCCACUACACCGAAGACAAACAAGAAGGCAACCAUCAACCUCACAGACACCACAGUGGUCAUCAUUAUUUCCGUGAGCCUGGCUCUCCUGGUGUGUGCACUCAUCCCCCUUGUGUUCUACGGCCACUGGAGGAGUAAUGCAGAAGGUCAGAGCAGACCUCAAGCAAACCUAGGUCAGGGUGAUUACUGCGAGGAAAAUGCAGAUGGUGCCUCGACUCAGGGCAUGGUGAAGCUGCAGCCGUUGGAACCAGAUCCAGAGUCCAGUGCUCAGGAUGAUUCCCAGUAUGCCGUCAUCUACCAGGCACUGGAUCCCCAAACUGUGGAAUGAGCGGGGUUUAUUCUGUUUUUGAGCUGGCAGCUCGUUCCGCCCGUUUAUCUGUAUUUUAUCAAAUAAAGGACAAAUACUUGAGUUACUUCCCGAAUUGUUCCUUUGCAUGUAACACCCCUAGUGGGUGCGUAACAGUCUUCUCUCUCACAACCGCGACCUGAUAGAUCGAUGACCAAACUUGCUUCAGAAACUUUGCAAUAUACAAUAUGAUGUCAAAGAUCACAUACA
rnacentral:lncRNA from 1 species